UUAUAUGAUGAAACACAACCUUUUUAUUUUUCUGGUACCUCUUAUUUUAGGGCGGGUUCUCGUAACCUGCUCAAUGAAUGGAAUGGACUUCUGAAA
rnacentral:snoRNA from 1 species